AUUGAACGCUGGCGGCAUGCCUUACACAUGCAAGUCGAAUGGCAGCGCGGGAGCAAUCCUGGCGGCGAGUGGCGAACGGGUGAGUAAUACAUCGGAACGUGCCCAAUCGUGGGGGAUAACGCAGCGAAAGCUGUGCUAAUACCGCAUACGAUCUACGGAUGAAAGCAGGGGAUCGCAAGACCUUGCGCGAAUGGAGCGGCCGAUGGCAGAUUAGGUAGUUGGUGAGGUAAAGGCUCACCAAGCCUUCGAUCUGUAGCUGGUCUGAGAGGACGACCAGCCACACUGGGACUGAGACACGGCCCAGACUCCUACGGGAGGCAGCAGUGGGGAAUUUUGGACAAUGGGCGAAAGCCUGAUCCAGCCAUGCCGCGUGCAGGAUGAAGGCCUUCGGGUUGUAAACUGCUUUUGUACGGAACGAAACGGUCUUUUCUAAUAAAGAAGGCUAAUGACGGUACCGUAAGAAUAAGCACCGGCUAACUACGUG
rnacentral:rRNA from 1 species